ACACGAGUCACCGCAAAACAGGGACAGGGUUUUGUUCUUGUCUGAAGUCCUCGUGGAAACGCCUACAAGGAGAUGAAGUACCUGCACUGGGGAGAUGUUCAGUUGUUCACUUCAUCUUCCGUUGACAAGGAAACCAAACCGCACUUCAUUCUCCAGGAAAACCUUCCACUGCCAUCAUUUGAAAAUGUAUUUAUUUGUAUAUAUGUAUAUAUCUAUCAGCAUCAUCAUCAUGAUAACAAUAACCAUCACAAAAUACUGCUGGCAAAAGAAUAAAAAAGUCAAGGUGCAAAAUGUGCAAAAGUAACAAUCAUUUCUUUGGCUUUAUAUUUUGUUUUGUUAUCGUUAAGGAGGAAAAAAGUAUUUAAAAAUGAUAACUGCAACACGCUGCAAGAAAAGUUUCACAUUAUAAACAGGUAACAAAAACUGAAAAAGAAGAA